rnacentral:rRNA from 1 species
UUAAAUUGAAGAGUUUGAUCAUGGCUCAGAUUGAACGCUGGCGGCAGGCCUAACACAUGCAAGUCGAACGGUAACAGGAAGAAGCUUGCUUCUUUGCUGACGAGUGGCGGACGGGUGAGUAAUGUCUGGGAAACUGCCUGAUGGAGGGGGAUAACUACUGGAAACGGUAGCUAAUACCGCAUAACGUCGCAAGACCAAAGAGGGGGACCUUCGGGCCUCUUGCCAUCGGAUGUGCCCAGAUGGGAUUAGCUUGUUGGUGGGGUAACGGCUCACCUAGGCGACGAUCCCUAGCUGGUCUGAGAGGAUGACCAGCCACACUGGAACUGAGACACGGUCCAGACUCCUACGGGAGGCAGCAGUGGGGAAUAUUGCACAAUGGGCGCAAGCCUGAUGCAGCCAUGCCGCGUGUAUGAAGAAGGCCUUCGGGUUGUAAAGUACUUUCAGCGGGGAGGAAGGGAGUAAAGUUAAUACCUUUGCUCAUUGACGUUACCCGCAGAAGAAGCACCGGCUAACUCCGUGCCAGCAG